GCCCCUCCGGACGACGAUGACCUCCUCUAGGGAAGUGAGCAGGAGCAGGGGAGAAAACGAGAGCCGAGGUUGAGGGGUGGUGGCGGCGACGGUGGGAUGAUGGAGGAAGAUGACCGGGUGGGCCACAUGCAGAUUGCAACCAGCUUCGGCCACGAGUUGUGUGCCUACUUCCGAUGCCGUCUCGUGAAGACCUACAGCCAGUUCAGGGAGAACGGCUGCAAGACCUGCCCGUUCUUGGAGAUGCAGACGGGGCACGACAACGUUGUCAACUGCACCACCCUAAACUUUACCGGGAGACAUACCUGGAGCUUCCCCUGGCCAUUAUAUGAUGUCCUCUACUGGGAACAUCAGCAAGCGGGCUCCAUUUGCCUAUGUGAAUCUUUCACCAAAUCUGUCAAGGGAUCGAGUUCUUUGGGAAUAUUGGGAAUGUUGCCUGGAAAGAGAGAGUUGAUGGCUGGAAAAUGAAGCAGGAUUAGGGAGCAAUUCAAAUGACUAAUGGCACAAGCAUUGCUCAUUCUGAAGGUCGGGGCGUUGGUGACAUUGAUGCAUAUACUGAUUACAACAUGGAAGAUGCUUUACUGAAUGAUGAAACUCGCUAGCCUUUAUCUAGAAAAGUUCCACUACCUUCCUCCAGGAUAAACCCCUACAGGAUGGUCAUUGUGCUGCGAUCGAUUGUUCUAAUAUUUUUCCUGCACUACCAUAUCACAAAUCCUGUGCGAAAUGCAUACCCAUUAUGUAUUCUAUUCAUUAUAUGUGAGAUUUGGUUUGUUCUUUCCUGGAUAUUGGAUCAGUUCCCAAAGUGGUUUCCAAUCAACCGUGAGAUUUACCUUGAUAGACUGGCCUUAAGAGAGAAUAUGAAGGAUGAAUCAUGCAAGAUGGCACACCAUGGCCACGAAACAAUACCAGGGGCCAUCCUGGAAUGAUUCAGGUUUUCCUUGGUCACAGUAGUGGCCUUGAUACCGAGGGUAAUGAGCUCCCCCGUUUGGCACAAUACAAUUAACUAGGUGUCAACGGGUUUUAUAUAGCGCGCCAACUGGCCAUUUUCUAGUAUACUGCAAUGCUGCAACGCGUCUUCGAUAGAGCAAGGCUGGACAAACAUCCUCCAAAAGAAAGGGGCGUAUGCAACCGUAUUUGUUCUUUUAACGAGGAACAAGUAAAAUUUUCGUUAUCAAGUUC